UACGGAGGAUGCAAGCGUUGUCCGGAUUUAUUGGGUUUAAAGGGUGCGUAGGCGGCCUGUUAAGUUAGAGGUGAAAGCGUUCGGCUUAACCGGAAGCCUGCCAUUGAUACUGAUAGACUUGAGUGCGACAGAGGGUGUUGGAAGGUGUCGUGUAGCGGUGAAAUGCUUAGAUAUCACGCAGAACACCGAUUGCGAAGGCAGAUGCCUAUGUCUGAACUGACGCUGAGGCACGAAAGCGUGGGGAGCAAACAGG
rnacentral:rRNA from 1 species